CAAAUGAGUGAAUGACAUUUUCUUUAUCCCUGGGUUCACAAGGUGAGUAUUAUUUUUUUAAUAAUAAGCCUUGCACACAACUCUUUGAAGAAUCUGUAGAAAUUAUUCUAGAAAGUUAAUCGAGAUGUCCAUCACUUGUAUCUUGGUUCCUGUGCAGGUGUGCUAUAUGUCGUGAUGGCCAGUUUCCUUCUGUGUCUCCUGAUUUCAGAUGUUCACACUAAGAUUCUAAGUUCGACAUCCAUGACAUUUAGCUUUUCUGUUGUGAAAACUUGUGAUAUUAAUUAUUGACUUGGCUAAAUCUUUUGAGGGUGCAGGUAAUCUCUUUGACGGAAGAACUCCUGGAAACUGCAAAGCAAAGCAAUAAAUCAGGAUUGACUUUUGGAACAGAUGCUGAUGUAUCUCCUAGUUUGCACCGUCCUGGAGGAACCUUUCAACAUUAUCUGGUAAGUCUUUUCUGAAGUUCACUACAUAUUUCCUAUUAAAUUCAGAAAAAAUACAAACCACAUAUUAUAUUUUUUACUUGGUGCCCUUCUUUGAUUGAGAGAUAGUUUGUCUAUAGCAUGAAGUCAAUUCCUUUCCCUCUAGGGUGGUGAUUGAAGCAAUUUUGUACUCACUUUCAUAUUUUUAAUGUCUGUUUUUGUUUUAUCAAUCAGGAUUCAGAUACAAUGUCUGAUCAAUCGGACAAACUCCCUGUUGGCACUAAAAUUCAAGCUGUAUGGAGCGAAGAUGGAGAGUGGUGACCAUAUCUUUUUCUCCCUUUAAAAAACCUUCUUAUUUUUCAGCCUUUUCCCAGUUUUGCUUUAGUUUUACAGAUUCUUUUCUUUUUCUGUGUUUGAUUUAGUUGAAUGUUCAGGUAUGAUGCAACGAUCGAGGCACUUACACCAAAUGGCUAUUUAGUGUCCUAUGAGGGGUGGGGCAAUAAAGAAGAGGUAUGUGCCUACAACAACACAUUUGAUAAUAAUCGUGCUUUGACUCAUUGUAAUAUUCUCCAUCAUCAUUUUUAAAAAAAAAAUGGAAUUUAUCCCAUCUCUUUUAGUUCUGUCGUCCUGGUUGGUAUCUGAAAUCUUCUCAUUAUGUUGUCUUCGACACAUACUACUAUAUUUCCUUGUGCACCAAUAAAGAAUAAUUAUUUUUUUCCCUUGUAUUUUCUCCUUGGGGUGGUAUAUUGUAUGGCUGCAGCCUGCAAGUCAGUUGAGCUGUAGGAUGUUCGGGCUUGGGUUAACUAAGAUUCCAUCCCAAUCAAGCUCAGUUUGAUUUCAGUUAAGUGUUGGGUUCUUCUGGUCAAGGUCGGCUGAUGGCUGUGCAUAUGCCUAAAUGGUUCAUGAGCCUGCUCAGCUUACGCUCAUUACACAACUUUUCUUGUCUCAUUAGACAACAAUAAUUUUUAGGGCUUUAAAACGAUCCUAGCUACUUGAGCGACUUGUGAUUUACUUGUUUAGGAUUGUCCGAUAACGGUUUGAAAGAGAAACAAGCCAUAACUUACCAGAUUUUUGAGCUCGUGGAUGUGGUUAGUUAAUUGAUUUGUUUCUGAUAUAUUAUUCACGUUUUCCUACUUGCAUCCUCUUUACUGCUAUUUGAUUAAAACAAAAUUGUUUACUUAUAAGAAGUUAUACGCAAAGUACAGUCUCUAUUUGCUUCUACUUCUAUAAUUGCAGUUUAUCAUUGUUUGGUUAUUUAUUUGAAAGAUCACAUGGAUCAUAGUGUGGUACUGAUUAUUAGUACUUCCAGGUGGAUCCUGAUAACAUUAGGUCUUUACAAGAAGGAGCUGUCGAUGCUCUUUUAGAAGCUGAGAAGGAAGCUGAGGCUACAAAGCUUGCUCUUAAGCGGAAAAUUGCUCAAGCUGCUUCUUCUGAUGCUGACUUCCAGUCACGAAGUUUACCAGCAAAGCUGCGAAUUGAACCUGAAGACCCUGAAGAUGUGGUGAGUAUGUUUGUUUUGUUUUUGUGGUUUGUGGUGAGUAUGCGUCAUAUCCAAUUUUUGAGAACUGUUAAGGGACACGAGUUAUACGAUUCCCCCUUACUACUAGUUGUUUUCUAGGCAAUUGAUGCAAUCAAAUUACCUCGACUGCUUUAUAUUAAGCAGUUGUUGAGAUUCGGUUGCCAAGUAUAAUAUUGGCCAGACUCUGAGCAUCCCAGUUUGGUGAUUGUAUGUGGUUCAGGAUCUAGCUUCCUAACUUUAUGGGAAAAUGAAACUGGAGCUCCAUAACUUCCCCUUGAAUUUGGAGUGUUCCAAUUUUAAUUUUGAGUGACCUUCCUGGUUUUUCAGUCCUUGGAAUAAUGCCAAGUUGUGGCAAAAUAGUUAGCUGUCUUCUUGUUUUACCUUGAUAAAUGUCUUCGAUUAUUUAUGUGCUGUAUUUGCCUUGUUAUCUUCCCUAUUGUCUACAGAAAGCAACCAAACGUAAGAAGAUACAUGCUUUCAAGUCAAAGAUGCGGAUGGAGCAACUUGAGGUGACACAGAAUAAGAGGCAGAAUGCUUGGCAACAAUUCCAGACCACCAAAGGUCGGGCUAAGAAGGUAUGCUCUUCAGAAUUUUGCAUUGCAAAAUGUUGGUCAUCCUAAAAGUAAUGGCAUUACUUUAUAUAAUAGCUUGUAAGGUACCUAUCCACGAGUAAAUCUGGCAAUACUGAAAUUUUUAGGACAUUAACUCAGUAAAACUCAGCAGAAGCAAUAUUUGUUAUGCCCUACAUUAUGAUGUUUCCUAGGUUCAGAAAAUUAUAGGAUAGAUAGCCAGCCAUGUGUUGGAGGUGAUGAGAGUGUCGGGAAUAAAAAAAGGCAGGAGCGGAAGUAAGGGAAGGGGUAGCGGAGAAAGGAGGGAGGGAUUAAAGCCAGUGUUCUAAAAGUCGCUAGUCGGUCCUAUGUCGGUUGGCUACCGACUAGCGACUAGGGGAUUAAUCGGCUAGUCGGAUUUUCAAUUUUAAAAAAAAUAUAUAUAUUCUCCUUCCUCCUUCGUAAGUUUUGAAUAAGUAGAAUAACAUAAGUAACACAAAUCAUCAAAUAAUUUAAUAAUUUAAUUUAUAACUGAAGUUGAAAAAAUUUAAAACUUUAAAUGAAAUAUUACAAUUAACUAAAAAUUAACUAAUUUAAUUUAUCCAACCUUUUCUUUAAUGCUUAUGCCUAAGCCUUAUAUCAGUAUGCCUAAGACUUAUAACAAAACUUAGUUUACUGCUUAUGUCUAAGCCUUAUAUCAGUAUUCAGAAGCUGAGAGAGAGAGAGACGAGCCGGAUGAGCAGCAGUCGAAGAUGAAGAGCAGGCGAGCAGCAACAGUCGUCGUCGUCGGAGCAGCAACAGCCGUCGGUCGAAGAUCCAGUCGUCGGCGUCGUCGGUCGAAGAUCCAGGCGGCGUCGGCAUCGUCAGCGGUCGAAGAUCCAGUUGUCGUCGUCGGCAGCAACAGUUGUCGUCGUCGGCAGUCGUCGUCAAAGAAGAUCCAGUCGUCGGUCGAGGAUCCAGUCGUCGUCGUCGAAGAAGAUCCAGUCGUUCCGAUUUUCCCUGACUUUACCGACUAGCCGAUUUGAUCCCGACUAAGUCGGUCAGCGACUAAUCAAAAGACUAGGGCCUGGUCGACUCGGCGAGCCUCCGACCCCGACCUAGUCGGCCGACUAGUCGGCCGACUAGACCGACUUUUAGAACACUGAUUAAAGCUUUGAGCAUCCAUUGAUAUGACAUGCAAAUCAAAUUUUCAGAGAUCCUAAUUGAUAUCCAGUGAUCAAAUUUAAAGCCAAUUUAAGAAAAUAUUAUUUGACAAGAAGAGUCAUUUGAGCAACUAGCAGAAAAAAUUAAUGGAGUUGGUGGAAAGUAACAGCAAUAACAUGAAAACAUCACAUUAUGAGUGCAUAACAUGUGCAGUGUAUCCAACUUUUAAACAGAAUAAAGAACUGUGGCACCUAUGUACUAGCAGCAGGCAAUUGAGCAUUGCGUCUCCCUUUUUGAGGUGGACAUCAGACAUCAGAUAUCAGAUACAGCUCAAGCUAGCCCUGGUUGUUGAAGUACUUGGUCACUUUUAUGUCUCACUUUGGCUAUAUGGCAUCAUCCAGAACUAUUUACUCUCUUAAUGAGCAAGUUACUGGGUAUGGGUCAUAUUCACAUGAACUUUGCCAUAGGAUUUCAAUCUGCCCUUCCAAGCCUGACUAUCCUAGGUGGCUAGGUCUUUGCAUAAAAGUUGAGUCCAGUUCACCAAAGAGGUAUCUUAGCAGCUUCCUUCCUAGCAGUAUUUUCUUGUUUUGGCAACUAUGCCUUACAUAUAUUCAGUCUGUAGUUAAAUUUAUCCUACAAGCUUCUCUCAUCACAGUUUCUAAUUAAUUGCAAUUAUUUUAUCAACGAACUAGUAAUGUAUCUUGAUCUUGUUUCAUUUGUCUACAAGUCCUGGCUUGAUUAGCCUAGUGCAGGGUAAGUGGGUAACACCUGUUUACAAAUUUCAUUAAUGUUCAUUAUAGUUUAAUCUCCUGGCAUAUUUUCAUUUUUGACUUUCUAGUAGAAGUACUUCAAUAUAGACGUUGGAGUCUGUAUCCUGUUCAAGAUGGUAACCUUCUCUGCUGUAUUUUGCAAAAAACGUGUCUAGAUUUGCGGAUGGUUUUCACUCUACGAUCUGUAAAUUUUUGUUUUUUUCCCACUUACAUAGAGGUAAGGCUGCCUACAUUCGGCCUUCCCCAGGCCCAUCACCCCAAGUUAAGUCCGUGAAAUAAUGUUUGACAUGUAGGCUAUGAUAGUGUAAUCUAGAAGAAAAUUGAUUUACAUUUGAGUGCUUAUUUCAUAUUUUUCUAUAACUUCUGGUUGUACUAAUCUGGCAUUCCCCCUCCCCCCCACCACCCCCAGAUUGGUUUCUUCUCGGGUCGUAAAAAGGAGAGCAUCUUCAAGUCUCCAGAUGAUCCUUUUGGAAAGGUUGGCGUUACCGGAAGUGGGAAAGGUUUGACAGAGUUUCAGAAGAGGGAAAAACACUUGCAUCUCAAGGGAGCAAAUGCUGAGGGCACAGAUGAGUAGAGAUAGUUGAGGAGGUGCACUGAUUUCCUAAUGUAUGUUAUAUAUAUAGGGUACUAUUAUUAUGUUUUUCAGUCUCUUGCAUUAGCAAAUAGUCUUGGCUUUUAUGCAGAAGCAUUGUGCUAGCUAGAUUUCCAUAACAAAGGAAGUAGGUUCUGAACCUCAGAAAAGCUCUUCAUUUCAACUCAUGGGGUUUAUGGUUUUGUUUUGGUUAAUCAAUAUUGCUUCUUAUCUCUAACCCUUUAUAAUUAAUGAUUGUAAUCAGAUUUUGAGGUGUUAGUGUUUCAUCAUCCGUUUAUUAAUUUAAUGAUGCACGUUUAAUUAAGUUACAAUACAGGCAUAAUAUGAGUAAUCAUUAAGAUAAUACUAGUCUUAAUUAAUUAUACUCCUUCCGUCCAAGUUAAUUGUCUAUUUACCUUAAGUUAUCUAUUUUUUUAUAAUAAUUUGCCUAUAAUACCCUUAUUAUUAAUUGUUAUAUUUCUAUUCUCUAUGUAUAUUUAUAGAGCAUCACUAGUAAUGUGCAGAAACUAUGCAAUUAUAUGAGAAUUUAAAUAUGGAUAAUUUUGUUAUUUGAUCUUUCUUAAUAUACGCAAAAAAUCAACUAGGAUUUUUAUCCUGGAUUGAGGUAGUAUAGUUGAUUGAGAAGGGGUAGGAAUUCAAUAUAUUCUAGGUGACAUGCGUCUGCAGAUUAGCAAUGCAUCGAAAACAAUAACAAAGAAAUUGAAAGAAAAUAAACAUACAAGUGGUUCACCCAAGUAUUGGGUUAGUAUUUGUUGAUGGUGAUAAAUUAAUAAACACUAUUUUGAUAUUUUUAUAUGAUUCUCCCUCACCUAAAGUGAGACCCACUUUAUAAAAUAUCAAAAAACACGUGAAAAUAUCACUUCCAUUAUCAGAAAACUAAACUUGCAGUGCUGGAUUUAUAUAUUAUGAGUACGUAGUUUAAUAGUUAUUUCUAAAUUAAGCUGGCCUAGGCAUUACCAAUAACAUUAAGAAAGCUUUACAUGAAAAUGGGAGCCCAAGAAUCAUACUUGACAUAAUAUUAAAUUUCAAUUACUUUUAGAAAACAUUUUUUCCACCAAAUCUUUACUUGAAUUAUUUAGUAUGAGCCUUAAUAAAGCUUUUACUAAAUCUAAUAUCCCUUGUCCCCAAAAAAAAGAAAAAAAAACAGAGAGAAGAAGUUCCUUCUCUUCCUCUCUCUUGAUAUAAAUCCGGCUUGCAGUAAUUAUAUCCAUUUGCUGUAUAAUAGGAAUACAUGUAGGUAGAGCUUUAUGCCAUGAAGGGGCCAUGCAUGCUAGUCUUUUAUGCAACAUUUUCAGGAGCAUUGAAUCAGUGGUGAAAGGAGAACAGGAAUAUAUAUAUAUAUAUGGGGUUCCAUCUAUAGCAACCGGUUGCUGUAGAACAACCUUUUUUUUGGCCUAUGAAAUUUCGACUGAAACAAUAAAAAAAAAAUUAAAAAAAUUCAUAAGCCAAAAAUAGAAUUGCUCUACAGCAUGCCCUAUAUAUAUAUAUAUAUAUAUAUAUAUAUAUAUAUAUAUAUAUAUAUAUAUAGAGCCCGGAUCAGAGGCAUUCCGCUUAAAUGACAUUAUCCCUUAAACGACAUUACCUAUUUAAGCCUCCGUGUUUUUCCAGUUUAACAUUCUCUCUCCUCUGCCCAAAACAAAAUUUGAGCUGCGAUGCUCUAUUUCUCUCCUUCACAAAACCUUCCUAGCAAAAUUCGAAUCAAGCAAGAAGACGGAGACCAAGAAUCGAAGUUUAUGCCCAGAUCUCGACUUCGAUUCCGUAUACCCUUUCUUUGUUUGUGUAAUUUCGGUAAGAAUUGACCCAUCAUUUUAUUCGUAUUGAUCUUCCUUGUUGAUCUUCCUUUCUUUAUUUGUUGUUGUUUUUUUACACAGAUUAGAGAUAUUUAUACAUGUAAUGGGUAUAAAUCGAAGAACAGUUGUAUUCUCAUUAUACAAUAAAAUAAAUGUGUAAAUAUCGAGAGAGAGAGAGAGACGGACAGUUUAUCGGCUUUGAUGAUUACCUUCUCGGGAGCAUAAACCCAUUACAUGUAUAAAUAUCUCUAAUCUGUGUAAAAAAACAACAACAAAUAAAGAAAGGAAGAUCAACAAGGAAGAUCAAUACGAAUAAAAUGAUGGGUCAAUUCUUACCGAAAUUACACAAACAAAGAAAGGGUAUACGGAAUCGAAGUCGAGAUCUGGGCAUAAACUUCGAUUCUUGGUCUCCGUCUUCUUGCUUGAUUCGAAUUUUGCUAGGAAGGUUUUGUGAAGGAGAGAAAUAGAGCAUCGCAGCUCAAAUUUUGUUUUGGGCAGAGGAGAGAGAAUGUUAAACUGGAAAAACACGGAGGCUUAAAUAGGUAAUGUCGUUUAAGGGAUAAUGUCGUUUAAGCGGAAUGCCUCUGAUCCGGGCUCUCUCUCUCUCUCUCUCUCUCUCUCUCUCUCUCUAUAUAUAUAUAUAUAUAUAUAUAUAUAUAUAUAUAUAUAUAUAUAUAUAGCUAGC
rnacentral:lncRNA from 1 species